GACGAACGCUGGCGGCGUGCUUAACACAUGCAAGUCGAACGGAAAGGCCCUGCUUUUGUGGGGUGCUCGAGUGGCGAACGGGUGAGUAACCCGUGAGUAACCUGCCCUUGACUUUGGGAUAACUUCAGGAAACUGGGGCUAAUACCGGAUAGGAGCUCCUGCUGCAUGGUGGGGGUUGGAAAGUUUCGGCGGUUGGGGCUGGACUCGCGGCUUAUCAGCUUGUUGGUGGGGUAGUGGCUUACCAAGGCUUUGACGGGUAGCCGGCCUGAGAGGGUGACCGGCGACAUUGGGACUGAGAGACGGCCCAGACUGCUACGGUAGGCAGCAGUGGGGAAUAUUGCAGAAUGGGCGGAAGCCAGAUGCAGCAACGCCGCGUGCGGGAUAACGUCCUUCGGGUUGUGAACCGCUGUCGCCUGUGAUGAAGCGUGAGUGACGGUAAUGGGUAAAGAAGCACCGGCUAACUACGUG
rnacentral:rRNA from 1 species